GAAUGGGGGGGGGGGUGAGCCCCCUCCCACCCUGCCUUCUUCUCCAGGACGUGGAGCUUCCACUCCGGAUUGCUGCUCUGCCCCGUAGAUCGGGGGGCGGGGCGGCUUUCGAUGCUGCAGGAAAGGAAAGGAGAAUCGGGAGCGAGGACAAAGAGACAAUGUCAGAGUGACUGACAAGCUGAGAUACAAUCCAUCAUCAUCCUAUGACAGCGACUGCAUGAAUCUUCCCAGUCAAAGGACCCAUUUUCUUGAUAGACAGUGCCUGUGGCUGGAGGCUCUACACACCGGGUUUGCCUGUGGAGGCCAGAGACUGCCAGUAUUAGCACAGGUGAG